GUAUAAAUAUAGGGAUUUUCAAAGAUUGAAAUCAUUCUGUAACAUUUUGUCAACAGGUUCCCUUCGUAUUUCGAAUUAAAUUCAAAAUGAAAUUCCUAACAGCUGUUAUGGGUUUUGCCGUGCUCGCCCUUAUGUAUGGCUCAGGUGAAGCCUGUUUAGGAUUCCCACGUAACCAGGGCGGUCCAUCUCGCAAAUAAAUAUUUUUGAAUAUGACAUCUCUGUAUUCUUAUAUUUAAACAUUUUAUAAAAUAUAUACUUGCAGCAGAUUGAAAGUA